rnacentral:lncRNA from 1 species
AGGAUUUGAUUUAGGGUUUAGGAUUUGGUUUAGGAUUUGAUUAGGAUUUGAUUUAGGAUUAGGAUUUUAUUAAGAUUUGACUUAGGAUUAGGAUUUGAUUAGGAUUUGAUUUAGGAUUAGGAUUUUAUUAGGAUUUGAUUUAGGAUUAGGAUUUUAUUAGGAUUUGAUUUAGGAUUAGAAUUUUGUUAAGAUUUAGUUUAGGAUUUAGGAUUUGAUUUAGGAUUUAGGGUUUGGUUAGGAUUUGAUUUAGGAUUUAAGAUUUGAUUAGGAUUUAUUUGAGGUUUAAGAUUUAGUUAGUUUUUGGCGUAAAGUUUGAAUGAAGCCCAAUAGGAUUUUAACUAGGAUUAAAUUAAGAUUGAAUUGAGAUAUAUUUGAGAUAUAUUUGUGAUUAUUUUAAUAUUUCUUUAAGAUUUA